UAGACCCGAAACCCGGUGAUCUAUCCAUGGGCAGGUUGAAGGUUGGGUAACACUAACUGGAGGACCGAACCGACUAAUGUUGAAAAAUUAGCGGAUGACUUGUGGAUGGGGGUGAAAGGCCAAUCAAACCGGGAGAUAGCUGGUUCUCCCCGAAAGCUAUUUAGGUAGCGCCUCGUGAACUCAUCUUCGGGGGUAGAGCACUGUUUCGACUAGGGGGUCAUCCCGACUUACCAACUCGAUGCAAACUGCGAAUACCGAAGAAUGUUAUCACGGGAGACACACGGCGGGUGCUAACGUCCGUCGUGAAGAGGGAAACAACCCAGACCGCCAGCUAAGGUCCCAAAGUCAUGGUUAAGUGGGAAACGAAGUGGGAAGGCUCAGACAGCCAGGAUGUUGGCUUAGAAGCAGCCAUCAUUUAAAGAAAGCGUAAUAGCUCACUGGUCGAGUCGGCCCGCGCGGAAGAUGUAACGGGGCUAAACCAU
rnacentral:rRNA from 1 species